rnacentral:rRNA from 1 species
AGUCGACGAACUCUGGUAUUGAUUGGUGCUUGCAUCAUGAUUUACAUUUGAGUGAGUGGCGAACUGGUGAGUAACACGUGGGAAACCUGCCCAGAAGCGGGGGAUAACACCUGGAAACAGAUGCUAAUACCGCAUAACAACUUGGACCGCAUGGUCCGAGUUUGAAAGAUGGCUUCGGCUAUCACUUUUGGAUGGUCCCGCGGCGUAUUAGCUAGAUGGUGAGGUAACGGCUCACCAUGGCAAUGAUACGUAGCCGACCUGAGAGGGUAAUCGGCCACAUUGGGACUGAGACACGGCCCAAACUCCUACGGGAGGCAGCAGUAGGGAAUCUUCCACAAUGGACGAAAGUCUGAUGGAGCAACGCCGCGUGAGUGAAGAAGGGUUUCGGCUCGUAAAACUCUGUUGUUAAAGAAGAACAUAUCUGAGAGUAACUGUUCAGGUAUUGACGGUAUUUAACCAGAAAGCCACGGCUAACUACGUGCCAGCAGCCGCGGUAAUACGUAGGUGGCAAGCGUUGUCCGGAUUUAUUGGGCGUAAAGCGAGCGCAGGCGGUUUUUUAAGUCUGAUGUGAAAGCCUUCGGCUCAACCGAAGAAGUGCAUCGGAAACUGGGAAACUUGAGUGCAGAAGAGGACAGUGGAACUCCAUGUGUAGCGGUGAAAUGCGUAGAUAUAUGGAAGAACACCAGUGGCGAAGGCGGCUGUCUGGUCUGUAACUGACGCUGAGGCUCGAAAGUAUGGGUAGCAAACAGGAUUAGAUACCCUGGUAGUCCAUACCGUAAACGAUGAAUGCUAAGUGUUGGAGGGUUUCCGCCCUUCAGUGCUGCAGCUAACGCAUUAAGCAUUCCGCCUGGGGAGUACGGCCGCAAGGCUGAAACUCAAAGGAAUUGACGGGGGCCCGCACAAGCGGUGGAGCAUGUGGUUUAAUUCGAAGCUACGCGAAGAACCUUACCAGGUCUUGACAUACUAUGCAAAUCUAAGAGAUUAGACGUUCCCUUCGGGGACAUGGAUACAGGUGGUGCAUGGUUGUCGUCAGCUCGUGUCGUGAGAUGUUGGGUUAAGUCCCGCAACGAGCGCAACCCUUAUUAUCAGUUGCCAGCAUUAAGUUGGGCACUCUGGUGAGACUGCCGGUGACAAACCGGAGGAAGGUGGGGAUGACGUCAAAUCAUCAUGCCCCUUAUGACCUGGGCUACACACGUGCUACAAUGGAUGGUACAACGAGUUGCGAACUCGCGAGAGUAAGCUAAUCUCUUAAAGCCAUUCUCAGUUCGGAUUGUAGGCUGCAACUCGCCUACAUGAAGUCGGAAUCGCUAGUAAUCGCGGAUCAGCAUGCCGCGGUGAAUACGUUCCCGGGCCUUGUACACACCGCCCGUCACACCAUGAGAGUUUGUAACACCCAAAGUCGGUGGGGUAA